AAACAAUCUUGCAUUUGCCAGGAAAAAAAAACAAAUAAAAAAUUUCAUUUAAGUGGAUCUCUAGCCAAACAAGUACAAUUAUAACAAGAAAUUUCAUAAACAGUAAUGAGAAAGAAUUGACAGCAAGCAGACUGAGACUUGCCAAUAAUGAUAAUAGGCUGGACUGAUGACCAACCAGAGACGCAUGAUCUCCUGCCAAGAUCACAAACUUGCUCUCUCUGGCAGGGAAAUGCCAAUGUCAAUGUGCAUAUCUUAUCCUCUCCUGCUGCAUUUCCAUGCCAUGAUCACGCGGAUUUUCCUUCUUCAACAACCGAUAAAUGGUAUAACAAAAGAUUCUCAAGCAAAUGAGAAUGGCUAUGAUCACCAGAGCUGAUAGGACAUAGUCUGCGAUGGAACGUUUGUUUUUGCACCCAAAAAGAACUAGACACACCAUGGCUAAAACAUUUAUUACUUACUAGCGCUCUUGGAUAUGUUCUUGAAGGAUAUCAGAAUACAACACCAAAUUAUUUGGGUUCUUUCCUUUCCUUGAUUAGAUUCUAAACUGCAGAUGAUGAACUCUGUAUAUGGUUUUCCUGGUGUAUUCUUGCCUUGAGUUGAAAUUGUUUGCUCUCCUCUUUCAAGUUUGGUAUCAUUAUCACUGCGGUUACUGUAAAGAUAAGAAGAAAACAAGAAUCUGUAGAGAGCCAACUAAAG
rnacentral:misc_RNA from 1 species